AAAGCAUGGUUCUUAGCAGCAUCAACAAACCUAUGGACCUCAAGUAUGCAUGAUGGAUCUAGUCUUGAUAAGUUAUACAUCUAGAAGGACCUCUCCAUCAUGAGCUAUGGAAAAAUUAGUAAAUUAAUUGAUCUCAAUGCAAAACAAGUAUGAAAUAUUGUCUAGGAAUAUUGUUAUCUAACCUUUUCAAACAACAACCUGUGAAGAUGAAAACCUCCCACUUGAUAUCUAUCCAAUUUGUAAACCUUAGAGCUAACAUUAAAAAUAAAGACAAAACCUAAGUAAUAAUUCAAAAAAGAACACCUAACAACUAAAUCAAAUUGACAAGGUAGAAAAACACCAUUGAUGGAACUGACUAAAUAUAUAUCUUGAUUUCACUAAGAUACAUUUGAGAAGGAAACAUGCAUGGAAAUGGUGAGAGGAGAGGCAUCGUCUCACCAUCUUAAGCAACCUCAUACAUGAAAAAUGCAUAUUGCAUAAUUAAAUCAAAUUUACAUAAAAAAUAACAUCCUAAACAAUAUAAUUUAAAAAACUAAAAAAGAAAACCUAUCUUUCUCUCUCUUCCCAAGCAUGAAAACACCAUCAUGGAAACCACUAUAUAUAUAUAUUUCUUGGAUUCUAUAAUUAGAGAAAGAAACAUGGAAAUGGGG
rnacentral:lncRNA from 1 species